UACGUAGGGUGCGAGCGUUGUCCGGAUUUAUUGGGCGUAAAGAGCUCGUAGGCGGUUUGUCGCGUCGGCCGUGAAAUCUCCACGCUUAACGUGGAGCGUGCGGUCGAUACGGGCAGACUUGAGUUCGGUAGGGGGAGACUGGAAUUCCUGGUGUAGCGGUGAAUGCGCAGAUAUCAGGAGGAACACCGGUGGCGAAGGCGGGUCUCUGGGCCGAUACUGACGCUGAGGAGCGAAAGCGUGGGGAGCGAACAGG
rnacentral:rRNA from 1 species